UGGGGAAUCUUCCGCAAUGGACGAAAGUCUGACGGAGCAACGCCGCGUGUACGACGAAGGCCUUCGGGUUGUAAAGUACUGUCUUCAGGGACGAACGGUAUUUGUGUAAAUAAUGCAGAUACAUGACGGUACCUGAGGAGGAAGCCCCGGCUAACUACGUGCCAGCAGCCGCGGUAAUACGUAGGGGGCAAGCGUUGUCCGGAAUCAUUGGGCGUAAAGGGCGCGUAGGCGGAUAUUUAAGUCCGGUGUGAAAACCUAGGGCUCAACCCUGGGAGUGCAUCGGAAACUGGGUAUCUUGAGGACAGGAGAGGAAAGUGGAAUUCCACGUGUAGCGGUGAAAUGCGUAGAUAUGUGGAGGAACACCAGUGGCGAAGGCGACUUUCUGGACUGUAACUGACGCUGAGGCGCGAAAGCGUGGGGAGCAAACA
rnacentral:rRNA from 1 species